rnacentral:lncRNA from 1 species
UCCGAUCGGUGACACCCGCCGUCAAAUCUCCCUCGUCGGUAAUCGCAAUCGUAGUGAUGGAGCAGAGAAUGGACGCUCAUCACCACCGAUCGAAACUUCUCUCGUGCUCUUUCUCCCUCGCUUGGUGCGUGUGUGAGAGCUGAGGAACCGAGCGAAGCAAGAAUGCACGCGCACAGACCGAGACAAAUAUCUUCCUCUCUCAUCUUGAGCGCUCUGGACCGAAUCUAGUGUCCACGCCCGCGGUCGAUUCAUGGAGGCUCGAUCAUACGAUUCUUCUGAGUUUGCCUUUUGCCGAGAGCUUCAAAUUGUUAUCUCAAAUUGCCCAUGUUAUAUUGCUCGCCGAUUGAUAGGAAUUCCUAUUUCUAGAACACCUCACCAUUCAUGAUCACCACCUGUUCGACGUUUUGCCUCAGAGAUGAUAAUGACGAAUUUGUCUUCUUCUUCUUCUUUUUUUUUUUUUGGUGAAAUGACGAAUUUGUCUUCAUCAUUGAUCAAUCUGAGAUUGCAUAGGAGUGAUCUGGAUGUUCUUGUUCGACAUGCUGAUCAUAUAUUGUGAAUUUUCAUGCUUCAUCCUUUGAUGGCAGAGAGUUCUCUUUCCCUUGGUGCUUCGGUUUACUUUGUCUCCU